rnacentral:lncRNA from 10 species
ACCACUGCAUUCCAGCCUGGGCGACAGAGUGAGACCCUAUCUCAAAAAAUAAAAUAUUUAAAUAUUUGGCUUUUUGCAUAAUAAUAUUGGUUAAUAACGUUGUAUUCAAUCAUGUAUCACUCUUCAUUUUGUUUAUCAGAUCAAUUCGUGGGCAAAAGCAACAUAGUAGCAAGUAAGCCAAACUUUUCACGAACUUCAGUUUGGCUUGAUACUUGUUAUUUUUGAUAACAAGACUUAUUUUUGAUAACUUGAUACUUUUUGUUUUCCUUCAUAGAUUCACUUUCUACCUAUUCUUGGAUGACUCCCCAAACAAUAUUAUCUACAGCCCAGAUGUUUCUAAGCUCCAGGCCCCACCGCACACCAGGCAUCUCUACUUGAUUGUCCACAUCCUUCUGGCUUGCUGUGUUUCAGACUGAACUUCCUCCUAUUCUUCUCAGAGAAGGGCUCUACCAUCUGCUGAAUUGCUCAAAUUUGAUUCCCUUCCCCGCAUCCAGCAGUUGCUCUUUCUUGUCCAUUCUGUUUCUUGUCUCUUGAAUCCACCCCCAUCACAUGGUCCCACCUGCCUCUCCCCUAGGCCAGGCCCGUGCCACCUUUUCCCCAGACUCUUCCUGCAGCUUUACUCCGCCAAUCAACUGAAUGGCUUAUUUUUAUUCUUGUGGUAAAAUACACGUAACAUAAAACUUACCAUCUUAACCCUCCAAUUCAUUUUUGACAUUACUCCUGGAGUGACUUUUCAAAGCAUAAAUUUAGUUAUGUCUCAUCUUCCCAAACGUCUUUGGAAGUUCCCAUCACCUGUAGAAUAAAAUCCCUAACCUGACGUAUGAGCUUUCCUAAUUUCCCUGGACUAAUUUUCUCAUUAUAUCACACCCUGCUGUUGCACCCUGCACUCUCAGCAUCUUUGUGCUUCAUCCAGUGCAACAGGCUGGUUCCUACCUCCUUGCCAGUGCGCCUGCAGCUCCUUCUGAACUGAAUGCGACACCCACCUUCAAUGUGCCUUAACAGAUCCUUACUAGUUUUUCGUACCUUAGUUCAAGGUUCCUUCCUCUGUGAAACCUGGACUCACCCAAUUGGACCUUGACAUAUCUCACCUUACACCAUUUCUACUGUAUGUUGACUUCAGAGGUAGCGCUUGAUUUCAUAAGGCCCUAGGCUUAAAUGAGACAUGUCACAAGUUGUGUUCUUCCAAAGCCGCCCAUUUUUGUCUUUUUGAAUAGCAUGGUUUAAAUUUCUAAUGGGUUGAAUUCACCUCUGAUGCAUUUGUGAAGCAAUAAGUUAAAUUCUGCAGAUAAAAUGCCCGCAAGUCAGCCUCCUCCUUCAAAAUGGCUGAAGACAAGUAUACAUCAAUAUUGUAGUUUUCAUAAGUGCUAUUCAUGUGAAUGAAAAGGAAAUAUGUUCACCUUUCAGGGAUCACAUGUGACUCUGGAAGGGUAUUUUCUGUGGCUGAGCACAGCUUUGAUUAUUUGAGGAUUUAGGUCUGAUGCAUCUGAUAAGGCUGCCAGUACUUGUAUAUUAUGGAAGAUGUCAUGUUGAUUUCUAUUGAUUGCUUGUCUCCCCAGUAGAAAGUAAACUCCUUUAGACUAAAGACCAUGUCUUUCUAUUAUAUACCUAGCAGCCAGAGUGGUAACUGCUAAUGCUAAAUGCCUAAUAUAUACUAGCUGAAUGAAAAAAGUGACCUUUUAGUAUUUCUUUUUCUUAACUUUUUCUUUUUCUGGGUCAGAAAGAAAACAAGUAGUAUUGAGGAUCCUCAGAAUAGGAAAUGCAAAUACUGCAUUCCAAUUAUUGGCAGGGACAUGAAGAAUAUCUGUUUCUAUAGUAAGGAGGAGUUAGGGUCCAAAAUAGAAACAGAAGUGAUACUCUGGCUAAAGAUGUACACAAAGUUCACAACUGGGUAAGGAAGCUGAAAUCCAAAUGCCAAUUUACUAAUGUGAGGAAAAAUGAGGGUAACUUACUAUGUUGUAGGGGAAAUUAUUAAGUAACAUGCAUGUGAAAUGUACCUUAUAACAGGUUCUGUAUUUUUAAAGGGAUAUAAUUAUGUGUUCAUGCAUAUUUGAGAAUUUUAUUAUGUUGUGUUUUAUUAGUGGAAAUAAAUCAGUAGAAUUAGAUAAACCUGACUCACACAAUAAGAUGUUUCAAUCAACAAGAUACUUGGGAUGCAGAGAAAGUGACUAUUUAGGUAAGAUAUUCUUGCAACCCCAAGAGAGGUAAACCAGACCACAGGUGGAAGUCUGUCAAGUAGGAGCCAUGAACUGCCUUGAGGGAGUUGGAAGCAGCUUUAAGACAGUAUGAAGAAGGGCUCAACUUGUCCACAAAAUGUUUUAGGUCUACCAGUUUGAGAACUGCAGGACACACACCUGCACUUUGUUCCUCCCUCUGUUGUUGCCAUUGGUGAAAAUAAACCAAGUGCUCUCGACCACACAUUGCUUCACCCGUCUUUCUUAUCAGCAGUGCUACACAGAAGCAAUCCAUGGCCAGGAGAGUUUUCAUUUUCUUAAUGGCUUUUGCGUACACUGGGUUUACAAAUACUUAUGGCAGUUCACUAACUUAACCAACGUCCCUGCUCAUGCCACCACCAAAGAGUUGAAUUCAAAUGGAAGGAGAAAGAAUAGGUGGUCAACAGGUUCAGUAAUGAAAGAUGCCAUGUUGGGCAAGAACCAUACUAAGGGACUAAAGGGCUGGGGGAUGGAAUGAGGAGUUUAGAAUCAGGGAAAUAGUAGAUCAGCAGGUCAGAACAGGAGAGUGCAGUGAGGUCCCGAGAGGCCACCAUCCCACCCCAGCUACCAUGCACGGAUUUUUCUCCAUGAGCCAUCCCAGGUGAACUGUUUGGGUGUCUAGCUGACUGACCCAAAGGGCUAGAAGUGAAGUGGCCAGGAGAAAUAGUUGCCAGAACCGAUGGUAAGAACGGUGGUAGAAACACCAGUUCAGUAGCUAGUUCU